rnacentral:lncRNA from 1 species
CUCCAUUCCCUCUGCAUGAUUCCUCUAACUAAGCAGACUACUUGCAGGUCUGCACAAAUUCCUAAUGUAAUUAAUUCACACUUUGCCCCUCUCUUUCCUGUAGCCUGAUUCAUGGAACGAAGCCUUUUAUGUCAGACUCCAACUUGUCUUACCUACCCCAGUCUGCAUCACACUCUUCUGUCUUCCAAGCCUUGCUCUGCUUUUCUCUGACACUGUAUAACCUUAAGUAAUUUCCAAGCCAUGCUACUUCCACUUUGGCCCUUAUUCCCACUUCAUCCUAAGACCUAUACCUGAGACCACUCUGGCAUGAAAACACUUCUCCGACUGAGUUGGAAUAGGAAAUUGGCAGGUUAAAGAUUGGAUAAACCCCUGGUGGCCUUUAAAA